GAGACUCUGUGCGCGUGCAUAUCAAUAAGCGGAGGAAAAGAAACUAACAAGGAUUCCCCUAGUAACGGCGAGUGAAGCGGGAAGAGCUCAAAUUUGAAAUCUUAAAGGGUUUCCCUUUACGAAUUGUUAGUUUAAAGAAGUGUUUUCUGUUGGAGUUUCGGUAAAAGUUCUUUGGAAUAGGACAUCAUAGAGGGUGAGAAUCCCGUAUUUGACCGUUACUUUCCAGCUGUGUGAUACACUUUCAAAGAGUCGGAUUGUUUGGGAAUGCAGUCCAAGAUGGGUGGUAAAUUUCAUCUAAAGCUAAAUAUUGGCGAGAGACCGAUAGCGAACAAGUACCGUGAGGGAAAGAUGAAAAGAACUUUGAAAAGAGAGUUAAACAGUACGUGAAAUUGUCAAAAGGGAAGCGUUUGACACCAGUGUUGUUUAGUUGAAAAUCAAUUCAAUAGUUUUUGAUUCUAAGUAGUAUUGACUUCAUCAGCUUGCUGCUUUCUUCUCAGAAAUUAUUGAAUGCACUUUUCAGUUAACAAGUCAACAUCAAUUUCUUUUGUUGUAAAAGGGUAAGAGGAAGGUGGCUUGCGCUUCGGCUCAAGUGUUUAUAGCCUUUUAUCUCCGCAAUCGGAGAGAUUGAGGUCUGCAGCGUAGAUCCUUCGGGGUUAGAUACAUUGGUGACUAAGCUAUAGCCUUGUAUAGACAACUUGUUGACUAUGCUCAGUCAUGUAGCUUACUCGCUGAUGCUAUUUUACCUACGCUUAGGAUGUUGACAGCAGUAUAGACUGU
rnacentral:rRNA from 1 species